AACGAACGCUGGCGGCAUGCCUAACACAUGCAAGUCGAACGAAGGCUUCGGCCUUAGUGGUGCACGGGUGCGUAACGCGUGGGAACCUGCCCCUCGGUUCGGAAUAACAGUUAGAAAUGACUGCUAAUACCGGAUGAUGACUUCGGUCCAAAGAUUUAUCGCCGAGGGAUGGGCCCGCGUAGGAUUAGCUAGUUGGUGGGGUAAAGGCCUACCAAGGCGACGAUCCUUAGCUGGUCUGAGAGGAUGAUCAGCCACACUGGGACUGAGACACGGCCCAGACUCCUACGGGAGGCAGCAGUGGGGAAUAUUGGACAAUGGGCGAAAGCCUGAUCCAGCAAUGCCGCGUGAGUGAUGAAGGCCUUAGGGUUGUAAAGCUCUUUUACCAGGGAUGAUAAUGACAGUACCUGGAGAAUAAGCUCCGGCUAACUCCGUG
rnacentral:rRNA from 1 species